GAUCCUGGCUCAGGACGAACGCUGGCGGCGUGCUUAACACAUGCAAGUCGAACGAAGAGCGAUGGAAGCUUGCUUCUAUCAAUCUUAGUGGCGAACGGGUGAGUAACGCGUAAUCAACCUGCCCUUCAGAGGGGGACAACAGUUGGAAACGACUGCUAAUACCGCAUACGAUCUAAACUCGGCAUCGAGGAUAGAUGAAAGGUGGCCUCUACAUGUAAGCUAUCACUGAAAG
rnacentral:rRNA from 1 species